rnacentral:lncRNA from 10 species
CAAGGAUUGGGAUAUAAACCCAGGCAUUCGAGCCAGCGACAGCAACCCCCUUUGGGUCCUCUCCCUUUGUGUAGGAGCUCUGUUUUCACGCUACUAAAUCUUGCAACUGCACUCUUCUGGUCCGUGUUUAUUACGGCUGGAGCUGAGCUUUCACUCGCCCUGCACCACUGCUGCUGGCUGCCGUCACAGACCCGCCACUGACUUCCAUCCCUCCGGAUGCGGCAGGGUGUCCGCUGUGCUCCUGAUCCAGUGAGGCGCCCAAUGCCCCUCCCAAUCGGGCUAAAGGCUUGCCAUUGUUCCUGCACGGCUAAGUGCCUGGGUUUGACCUAAUCAAGCUGAACAUUAGUCACUGGAUUCCACGCUUCUCUUCCAUGACCCACGGCUUCUAAUAGAGCUAUAACACUCACCGCAUGGCCCAGGAUUCCAUUCCUUGGAAUCAGUGAGGCCAAGAACCCCAGGUCAGAGAACAUGAGGCUUGCCACCAUCUUGGAAGCGGUCUGCCACCAUCUUGGGAGCUCUGGGAGCAAAGACCCGCCAGUAACAUUUUGGUGACCACGAAGGGACCUCCAAAGUGAUUUCUUCAGAAGAUGAAAUAGAUCAUCUGCCUUAAGGUUCUGGACCAGUGUAUGCAACACAAUAAACGUUCAGGAAAUGGUUGCUAUGAUGAUGACGACGAUGAUUAUGACAACAAUGAUGAUGAUGAAAUGAGUUGGCUUCAGCCCAGAGCAGAAUAUGUUCCCUAAUAAAGUAUGAGGAUGUCAGCACAUGCCAUUUGUGUCCCACCCAAAGCUGCAAACUUACUUAAAGUUUAUCUGUAGCUUCAGGGGACAAUUUCCAUAAUGACUGAUGGCAUUUUACCCUGGGUUUGUGAAAUAUUACCAUACUUAUAACAGUCAGAGGUAUUGAAAAGGUAUGCCUGGAAAACAUUGUUCCUCAUCAUUCCUUCUACCAAAUAUUUAUUCUAUUCUCAUCAUUUCCUGUAGGUGUGGAUCUUCAGGAGGUUGCCUCUCCCUGGCUGCAGAAUUAUCAUUUUUAGAGAAGCAGUGUGAUAAUCGUGGAACCAUCCCCUACAUUCCUUCACCCAGGAAGGAAGCAAUAUGAGCUGUGUGCACUGUACACUAUAGCAAUGGAGAAUCUGAUUUGACAAGCCAAAGAUCCUACAUUGGUUGCACACAUCAUGGAUAGCCUACGAACUUCCCUUUAAAGAAAGCUACGUAGAAGCAGGAUGAGUAAAAAUUUACAAACUGAAACAGGAACAUUUUCAAGGUGGAGCACAGUGGCGUGAUCUCAGCACACUGGAACCUCCGCCUCCCAGGUUCAAGCAAUUCUCCUGCGUCAUCCUCUCGAGUAGCUGGGACUACAGAUGUGCACCACCACACCUGGCUAAUUUUUUUGUAUUUCUAGUAGAGACAGGGUUUCACCAUGUUGGCCAGGCUGGUCUCAAACUCCUGACCUCGUGAUCCACCUGCCUCUGUCUCCUAAAGUGCUGGGAUUACAGGCAUGAGCCACCAUGCCUCGCCAAUUGAGAGCUAAUGGUUUUAAAGUGUGGCACUUCCCCAUGCACUCUCUCUCUCCUGCUGCCUUAUGAAAAACGUGUUUGUUUCCCCUUUACCUUCUACCAUGAUUGUUAAGUUUCCUGAGGCCUCCCCAGCCAUGUGAACCGAGUCAAUUAAACCUCUUUCCUUUACAAACUACCCAGUCUCAGGUAGUAUCUUUAUAGCAGUGUGAAAACAAACUAAUACACCAAAUAAGACUGAAGAAACUUAUGCUCAUCUCCAAACACUAUCUGCCAUGCUAUAAGCCAUUAGAACUCAUCUGUUUUACAAUCAGGUUUAAAGAAAGUAAGCUCAUGUCAAGGGCAGGGAUGAUUUCCAACAGAAUUGUGUUGCCCUCUCAUUAAUUCAAUGGCUAUAUUAAUUUUGAAAAUAAUGUAAUUAGCAAAUAGUGGCAGAAACAAUACACAUUUUCCCUCUCCUUUAUUUAAAAUGCAUGAUCAUGAUCUGUCAUUUAAUGAAUUCUAAAGAUAACAAAAUAUUAAAUUAUCUUCACCCUGCAAUAGAGGAUCAUGAAGCACAAAAAUGUAGAAAAGUAUGUUUUCCUGAGCUGAUGAUCUCCCAGUAGCAUGAG